rnacentral:lncRNA from 1 species
UGCUUUUUUUCUUAUAUUUUACAUGGAAAUUUUUCUUGUAGAUCUGAGGAGAAAAUUAAGCACUUCAGUCAACUUAAAUCUGAACUUUUUCUUAAAGACAAUACCUUGAGGAAGAUACUUUGUUUAAUUACGGAACUUAAGGUGGCAGCCCAGAAAAAUUUCAUUCUGAAAAGACUUUUUUGGAAAGUAGGUGUUUUAUUUUUAAUCUAUAAAACUUGUUUGACCUGGUUAUUCAAGCAUAAAUUAAAAUAUGAAGUUGUAUGCUGAUGCUAUGUUUCAAAUUGUUGUUUAAAUUUAAUACAAUCAUGUCUUAAUACUUGAAAGUUUGUUAGGUAGUCAGUAAUGUUUAAAUGGGGUGGGGAGAUAGGGGUUGGAGAGAGAGGGUGGCCAUAGCACAAAGUGGCUCACAUGGGUUGGGUUGGUAGACCCAAAGAGAGGUAUUAGAACUGUGUGUGGUGGCCCAUGCCUGUAAUCCUAGUGGCUCAGGAGGUUGAGGCAGGAGAAUCACAAUUUCAAAGCCAGCCUAAGCAACUUAGCAAGGCUUUAAGCAACUUAGUGAGACCCUGUCUCAAGAUAAAAAAAAUAAAAAGGGCUGGGGAUGUGGCUCAGUAGUUAAAUUCCCCUGGGUUCAAUCCCUAGUACCUGCACCCAACACUCCCCAAAAAAGAGGUUUUAGAGGGAAAGUUUUUAAAUAUGAGUUGUAAUAUGGGAAAGUAUAUUUCAAGAAGUUUUACUGUACAGAUUCCUCUAUAAUGAAAAUGUAAUUUUAAAUAAUUACUUUUGAGGGUUGUGGCUCAGUGGUAGAGCACUUUACCUAGCCUGUGUGAGGUACUGGGUUCAAUUCUCAGCACCACAUAUAAAUAAAUAAAAUAAAGGUCCAUUGACAACUUAAAAAAAAAAAGAAUUACUUUUGAGUGUGGGAUAGUUAUUUUUAAAAAUGUGACUCCUGAGAAAACAAGGCAGCCUAGUUCUCACUUGGUUAAGUUAUAAAUGCUUCAUUUUCAGUUUCAGGGGAAAGGUUUGAAGAAGCUCAGAUGAUUAAUGAUGUGGUGGUAAUGAGGCCAAGGUGAAGUGGUAAGCCCUGCCUAAGGCCAAACUCAUGUUGGUGGAUAUAUGUUGCAUCCUAAUUCUGGCUAGUGGCCUCAUACAUAGCUGCUACCAUCUUAUUGAGCAGUUGUGAAAUAUAUAACCCCUCCACCAUUAUAGACAGUCCUGGCCACUUCUUAAUUCUAGAUAAUACAAAUGUAGGAUGACCAACCAUGUUGGUUUGCCUAGACUAGGGUGACCAGCUGUUCCAGUUAAUGUGGGCCUGAGGAAGUUCCUGGGACAUGGGAAGGCUAGGACAGUCUCAUGCAAAUCAGGAUGGUCUAUCACUCUAAUUAGAGAACAGAAUCAGCAUAGAGAGUAAUAUGCCAAAUGUCUGAAAACAUUGAGAUUCAGGUAAGAAUGAUGUGGUACUGCAUGGUUCUAAAAUGGUCCAUACUGGACAGAUAUUGUAAGGAAUGCAACAUCCAUGUUUUGACUCUAGGAUUUGAGGAGAAUUGUGGAAAAUAAAGGGAUGAACAUCAAAAAGACCAACCACAUUGAUUAUGAAAAUGGAAAUGGAAUUCAUGUGGAAAGGCUAAAGAAAUUGGGAUUAUCGUCACCCAACUAAACCUCCCCACUCCAUCCCACACAUGGUAUUAAUUUAGUCAAUGACCCUGAUUAUGUGGGCUUCUUUGUUGAAAAACCUCUUGUGACUUUUCUUACUAAAUUAAGUGCAGCCACGUUGGCAUUUAAGACUCUCCACUAAUGGUCUCUGUCACAGACUCUGAAUUUGGACAGGCCUGGCCUUUAUUUUAGGAAGGCAGUUUAUCAGCAAGGGACUAUCAUCUGGGCAGGGCAAGUCCUGGUAUCUGAUCCAGCUCAUGGAGAAGGUAUAGUUCCCAAGGGUGGGAGUGAUCUUUAGAUAGAAGUGGGCAAAAUUAAAUAUGUGAGCAUUCCAGCAUAUGGGUGAAAUUACACUAGAUGUACAAGCAUUUGGUACUAGGAUGAUCUGCUUAUUUAAGGUGUGGGAACAGGUCUUUCAUGGAAUGUGAGGUCUGGAUCCAGGAUCAAGGACACAAAGAUUGUCAAGAGUAAAGCUAAUAGCUGGGUAAGGAUGGGAAAGGAUUUCAGUCAGGAUACCUCUUAGACAAACUGAAAACAAUCAGGGAUUGAAUUUAUUUAUUUAUUUAUUUGUUUAUUUAUUUAUUUAGUGGUGCUUGGGCUUGAAUCCAGGGCCUGCAAGACAAGCACUCUAACAAACACUGAGCUAUAUCCCCAGCCCAGGGAUUGGGUUUAAAGUGGAUGUUUAGAUAGGAGAACCAAAGUGCCAUCUGAGGGUUAGAUAGGAAGAAGUCAUUUAAACAUCUCCAAUAUUAAACCAAGCCUGAUGUAGGUGGCUAUGGCUGUGGAGCAAAAAUAAAGAUGCAGACAGAGAAUAAAGCCAGACCUAAUACACUAAUACACAGUGUCUGCUAACCACUUCAUCUUCUUUCUGAAGUCUGUCUUCUAAAAGCUUGAGCUCUGUGGUAUGACUUGAAUACCCUGAAAUGAAAUUAUGUCAUUUUCAGGAAAAUGGAUGGAAUUCAAGAACAUUAUGUUAAAUGAAUGAACCAAAGUUUUUCUAGGAUACAUCUUCCAUUUUCUAUUGUUAAACUCCUACCCAUUCUUCAAGGUUCAGCUCAAAUGUCAUCUUUCUGCCUUUCCUGUCAUCCUCAGCGAAGAACUUUAGUAAAAUCUUCCCUUUUUAUCUUCUAUAGCAGCUCUGUCCAUGGAACUUUCUUUGAUGUCUCAUAAUCUGUGGUGCUCAGUAUGGUAGACAUUAGCCACAUGUGACUAUUAAUGCACUUCAGUGUGGCUAAAGACAAAGGAAGUGAAAUUCUGAUUUUAAUUUAAUUCAUUUACAGAGCCACUGUGGUCAGUGGCUACUAUAUUGGCCAGUGCAGUUCUAUGGCAUUUUUCAUAGUAUUUUCUAAUAAUUCAAUAGACAUUCAUUGCAGUUCUAAUGGUAGCAGAAGCGGGCAUUAGAAAUGCAAGUGUGGUUAAGAUAUUCAGUUCCUCAUGUUUACAUUGUUGAGAUUAUAAAUUAGUACAACCAGUGUAGAAAUCAGUAUGGAAGUUCCUCAAAAGACUAGGAAUGGAACCACCAUAUGAUCCAGCUAUACCACUCCUUAGUGUUUAUCCAAAAGAAUUAAAGUCAUUAGUAUCAUUACUAUAGUGAUGCAUACAUACAUGGAUUGUGCAAUCCAUGUGGAUUGCACAAUCCACAAUAGCCAAACUAUGGAAACAGUCUAGGUAUACAUCAAUGAGUGAAUAAAGAAAAAGUGUUAUAUAUACACAUUGAAGUUUUUAUUCAGUCAUAAAGAAGAAUGAAGCUUUUUCUGCUUUCUGAUCAUAAUGUGAACAGCUUCCCUCCACCACACUCUUCUGCCUCACCGCGAGCCCUUAGGAAUGGAGCCUGCUGUCUAUUGAUUGAGAAUUCUGAAAUUGUGAGCCCUUAAACAAACUUUUCAUCCUGUACAAUUGUUCUGGUCAGGUCUUUUAGUCAGAGCAGCAAAAAAGCUGACUGAAACAGAAAUUGGUAGUGAGAAGUGGGAUCCUUGCUGAGACUAACCUGACCAUGUGAUUCAUAAGUUUCUGGAGCAUUUUAGAAUUGGUGGGAGGAAUUUUGAGAUGUUUAGCAGUGCAAGCUGUAAAUGCUUUAGAUUGUUGUAAGCAGAAAUGAAUGGCUGAUUUCAGUGGGAGCUCAGAACACUAGAAUGCCAAUAGGACCAUGGACAGUGAAGAAAGGGCUUAAGAGGGCUUAGAAAAAAAAGGAGAACACUAUUGGUAAUUGGACUAGAGGCCAUUCGUGUUAUAUUCUGGCUGAGAAUUUGUCUGUCUUUUGCCCAUAUCCUGAGAUUUUCUGUGAGACUAAUUUUAAAAGUGAUGGACUCUUUAAUCUGUUUCGAAGAAAUCUCUAGUCAGCAUAGCAUUCAGAUGGUGGCAUGGACAUUUUUGGUGGCUUUUAGGCAAAUCUAUUGUGAUAAUCAGAAGCAGAAAGCAGAGCAGAAAGAUUUGAAAAACUUGGACUUGAAAGGUGGAAGUAAAACCAGGGCUAAGAAAGUUGCAGUUGUUAAAAACAUUACUGCCACUGAAGAAAUGCUAAAGACUUUGCCUAGAGACAAUGAGAAAGAUGGCUUGAGGACAUCUCAGGAGCUGGCAAGUUCAUAUCCAUCUCAGACUCAAGGAAAUAAAAGUAAAAAAUUCUCUAGAGAAUAGACCAGUGGGACACUUUUUUGCACAAGGGAGCCUAGGAAGUUUUUUCAACAGACUCAGCCACCCAGACACUCAGAGGCUGCAGGAGCCAGGGUCCCUUGAGGCUUUAAUACUGCUUGAGUUGGUGUUAGACCUUGGUGUCAACCAUGUGGUGUUGCUUCUGCAGGAAUGCAGGAUGCUAGAGCUAAGGGAUCAUGGAGGAUUCCACCAAGAUUUCAAAUGAAGGCCUGGGAGGCCAGGCAAAGUGCAGCAGGGUCAGAGUCCCUGUGGGCAACCCGAGAGGACAAUACAUGGAGAUGUGAGAAGGAAGCUAAAACUGCAGUGGAAAACCCCAAAAUUAAGAAAUGCCAGUACCAUGGAACAUCUGCUGAGGAAACCUGCAGAAGUUAAGUUGAGGCAAGCCAACUAAAAGUCUACAGGGGAGACCUGCACAGAACAUUACCUUGCCAUGUGCCCCAGAUGCCUAACAUGGAGCUAUAGGACUUGUUUGUCCAGCUGGAUUCAGUCUUGCUUUGGUCCUAGCCCUUCUUUCUAUGCCCCUAUUUCUGUGAAUGGAAGUGUUUACUCUGUGCCUUUACAUAUUGGGUACUUGUAAGUUGCUUUUGAUUUUUACAGGCGCUCACUAUGCAAGCUUGCCCUAAGUCUCAGAGGAGACUUUGGACUUGAACUUUGGGCAAUCUUGAACUAUUGAGACUUAUUGGGGACUUAUGAAAAUGGACAAAAUGUAUUUUGCAUUGUGAGAUGAGUGUGAGCUUUUGGGGGCCAGGGGCAGAAUGUUAUGGUUUGGAAGUGAGGUGUCCCCCAAAAACUCACACGUGAGACAAUGUGAGAGGGUUCAGAAGGGAAAUGAUUUGAUUGUGAAAGCCUUAACCCAAUCAGUGGAUUAAUCUCUUGACUUAAUUGACUGUAACUGGAGGUGGGUAGGGUGUGGCUGGAGGAGGUGGGUCAUUGGGUGCAUGGCUUUGAGGUAUAAUUUGUAUUUGGCAAGUGGAGAUCUCUAUCUCUGCUUUUCUGAUAAUCAUGUGAGCCACUUCCUUCCACCACACUCUUGCACCAUGAUGUUCUGCCUCACCUUGUGCCCUUAGGAAUGGAGCUGGCUGUCUAUGGACUGAGACCUCUGAAACCAUGAGCCCUUCUCUACAAAAAUAAAAUGAAAUAAAAUAAAAAUAAAAAGAAGAAUAUAUGUCAUUUGCGAAAAUGGAUGGAACUUGAGAACAUGUUAACUGAAAUAAGCCAAACUCAGAAAGUCAAGGGUCAUAUGUUUUCUCUAAUAUGUGGAAGAUAGAGAGGAAGAAGGAAAAGAAGUAGUGAAGAUCUCAUAAAAAUCGAAGGGAGAUCUGUAGAGUAAGAGUAAAAGAGACCAGGGAGAGGGAGGAGGGAAGGAAAAGGGAAAAUAUUGGAUGAUACUGACCAAAUUAUAUUGUUAUAGUAUGUGCAUGUACAAAUAAUAACAAUGAUUCCCACCAUUAUAUACAACUAUAAUGCACCAAUAAAAAUAUGG